rnacentral:lncRNA from 1 species
AGUGCUCAUUUCUAGCUUUUUAUUCAAUAACAAAAAAGUACAAAAAUGAAAGAUGGGAAAUUUUAAAGCAAGAGCGUUAUUGAUCUUAAAAAUUAGGCAAGAACUUCAAGCAGUUGAUAAUUUAUUAGUACCUGCAUGAAGAUGAUGGUUGCUAAGGGGAUUGGUGGUAGAGGAGAAGAGGCGCCGGUGGCCUCUGUUUCUGUUCCUCGUCUGCACCCCCAAAAAAAUAAACACUUCUUUUCUUUUAGUUUUAUCAACAUUUCCUAUUUUCUUUACUUUCUAUACAUUCAUUUUGAUGCAUAGUCUCCAUCGCCAGUGGGGGAGAGGGGUGCUUCCUUGUGGACAAUUUACUAGAGAGCGUGGUAUUAUUGAACACAUACUUAUUACCAUCAUACUAUUGGGAGUCUAAUUUCUAGACUUACUUUAUAUUGUUAAAUUACAUAGAUGAUUUCGAGCUAAGGGAAUAGUAUGUAUUUUCAAGUAAGAUGAUGAAAACAACAACUAGACUAGGUGCGCAUGAUCCCUGAAACUUCUCAGUCCUUAUUUUAUAAAUGUUAUUACUCACAAAAAGUACGAAAUUUUCUCUUGUAAAGCAAUGCCAGUAGGAACAACUAGAUAAUUACAUGUGCAAUUUUGAAAGACUAGGCAAAUAUUGGAGUGUAAAACCAGGAAACUGGAAAUGUGAGAUAAAUUGAUAGUAGUAGACUCAACAUAAGGGAAAACGUAAUAAUAACAAUACGAAGAAGAAAGCUCCUUCCUGCAUUUUCAGAUGAAAAAAAUGCCCCCACACCACCAUGACCCUUCAGUCCACAAUUUCUCAGCCAAAUAUUGUAGUUUCCAAUCUCAUCCAAGUAAAUCGCCUUUACUUCUUCGACAAUUAUUAAAGCUAGAAACAACUUAAGAUAAAAAAAGGUAAACAGAUAUCUCUUAACAGGAUUUCCUGUGUUGCAAUGAAGAGUAAGUUGCACUUUGACAUUAAUCUUAAGGGUAAUGAUUUAACAACAUAGAGCCAACUCUAAAUUUAUUGACAAUAAGGCUUAGUUUAUUGUUGUUUUUGAAUGAUUUACCACACAUCUAAAAAAUUCUCAUUUCAGCUGCAGUUACUACAUGAUAGUCCACUUGCCAGCAUAGGAUAUGUAAGCUAUAAUGCUUAGACUUUUAAUAGGAAGUAAAUGAAAAGAUCCAAAAGUUUGGCGGCCAAACUGUGACUACCCUCAAACUGCAAUUUACAAAAAUAGCUGCCAAGCUACAAUACGGGAACAGUGUUCUGUGAAAAUAUUCUUUUAUCUUUUAAAAUCAUGUUAAAUAAAAUAAACUUAUUAUGGUAAAAUCAGAUAAUUAUUUAAUUGAUAAGGGUACAUACAAAGCAAGAUUUUUGAAGAUGGUAUAAUUUAUUUUGUAUACAUGUUAAUAUGUAAACAGGUAUGUUUAACAAUAGAAAUUAGGAUAUGUAAAUAAGCAUAUUUACUAAUGUAAAGUCGAGAUAAUUGUUGUUAGUAUAAAUUGAUACUUUUGAGGUUAAAACAAGGAAUUAUGUGUGAGAUUGAAGGAAAGUAGCUAUGUUUGGGGACUAGACCUUAGGAAAUGAUUGAAGUUGCGAAGAAGGCAUUUAAUCAAUGGUCAAACCCUCGCAGCUAGCAUACAUGUAUACAAACAAGAACAAAAGCCACACCACACCAACCUCCUCACACGUUGAUCUC